rnacentral:rRNA from 1 species
ACACAUGCAAGUCGAGCGAUGAAAUCUUAACAGAACCCUUCGGGGCGAAGAUAAGACGGAUUAGCGGCGGACGGGUGAGUAACACGUGAGUAACCUGCCUUUUACACAGGGAUAGCCUCGGGAAACCGGGAUUAAAACCUGAUGAAACUAUCAAAUCACAUGAUUAAGAAAGUUAAAACUCCGGUGGUAAAAGAUGGACUCGCGUCCCAUUAGCUAGUUGGUGAAGGUAACGGCCCACCAAGGCAACGAUGGGUAGCCGGCCUGAGAGGGUGAACGGCCACAUUGGAACUGAGAAACGGUCCAAACUCCUACGGGAGGCAGCAGUGGGGAAUAUUGCACAAUGGGGGAAACCCUGAUGCAGCGACGCCGCGUGAGCGAAGAAGGCCUUCGGGUCGUAAAGCUCUUUUAUAUGGGAAGAUAAUGACGGUACCAUAAGAAAAAGCCCCGGCUAACUACGUGCCAGCAGCCGCGGUAAUACGUAGGGGGCUAGCGUUGUCCGGAAUCACUGGGCGUAAAGGGUUCGCAGGCGGCAAUGCAAGUCAGAUGUAAAAGGCAAAGGCUCAACCUUUGUAAGCAUCUGAAACUGUAUAGCUUGAGAAGUGUAGAGGCAAGUGGAAUUUUUAGUGUAGCGGUGAAAUGCGUAGAUAUUAAAAAGAAUACCGGUGGCGAAGGCGACUUGCUGGGCACAAUCUGACGCUGAGGAACGAAAGCGUGGGGAGCAAACAGGAUUAGAUACCCUGGUAGUCCACGCCGUAAACGAUGAGUGCUAGGUGUCGGUAUAAAUCGGUGCCGCAGUUAACACAAUAAGCACUCCGCCUGGGGAGUACGUGCGCAAGCAUGAAACUCAAAGGAAUUG